rnacentral:rRNA from 1 species
AGUGAACGCUGGCGGUAGGCCUAACACAUGCAAGUCGAACGGCAGCACAGUAAGAGCUUGCUCUUACGGGUGGCGAGUGGCGGACGGGUGAGGAAUACAUCGGAAUCUACUUUUUCGUGGGGGAUAACGUAGGGAAACUUACGCUAAUACCGCAUACGACCUACGGGUGAAAGCAGGGGAUCUUCGGACCUUGCGCGAUUGAAUGAGCCGAUGUCGGAUUAGCUAGUUGGCGGGGUAAAGGCCCACCAAGGCGACGAUCCGUAGCUGGUCUGAGAGCAUGAUCAGCCACACUGGAACUGAGACACGGUCCAGACUCCUACGGGAGGCAGCAGUGGGGAAUAUUGGACAAUGGGCGAAAGCCUGAUCCAGCCAUACCGCGUGGGUGAAGAAGGCCUUCGGGUUGUAAAGCCCUUUUGUUGGGAAAGAAAAGCAGCAGGUUAAUACCCCGCUGUUCUGACGGUACCCAAAGAAUAAGCACCGGCUAACUUCGUG